rnacentral:rRNA from 1 species
UACAGAGGUCCCGAGCGUUGUUCGGAUUCACUGGGCGUAAAGGGUGCGUAGGUGGCUGGGCAAGUUUGAUGUGAAAGCUCAGGGCUUAACCCUGAAAUGGCAUUGAAUACUACUUAGCUGGAGGUUUGGAGGGGGGACUGGAAUUCUUGGUGUAGCAGUGAAAUGCGUAGAUAUCAAGAGGAACACCAGUGGCGAAGGCGAGUCCCUGGACAACACCUGACACUGAGGCACGAAAGCUAGGGGAGCAAACAGG